AUUGAACGCUGGCGGCAGGCCUAACACAUGCAAGUCGRGCGGUAGCACAGGGAGCUUGCUCCCGGGUGACGAGCGGCGGACGGGUGAGUAAUGUCUGGGAAACUGCCUGAUGGAGGGGGAUAACUACUGGAAACGGUAGCUAAUACCGCAUAACGUCUUCGGACCAAAGUGGGGGACCUUCGGGCCUCAUGCCAUCAGAUGUGCCCAGAUGGGAUUAGCUAGUAGGUGGGGUAAAGGCUCACCUAGGCGACGAUCCCUAGCUGGUCUGAGAGGAUGACCAGCCACACUGGAACUGAGACACGGUCCAGACUCCUACGGGAGGCAGCAGUGGGGAAUAUUGCACAAUGGGCGCAAGCCUGAUGCAGCCAUGCCGCGUGUAUGAAGAAGGCCUUCGGGUUGUAAAGUACUUUCAGCGAGGAGGAAGGUGUUGUGGUUAAUAACCACAGCMAUUGACGUUACUCGCAGAAGAAGCACCGGCUAACUCC
rnacentral:rRNA from 1 species